GGCCGACUUUUUUGGCAACUCCCUUCAUAGUCUCCGAGCUAAUUUCAAAAAGACGUCUGUACAAUGCAGUAAAAUGUGAAAUAUUUAGUGAAAAGAGUUGCUCGUUCAUAUGAGUAAGAGCAAAAAGACAAUGAUUUCCGCAUUCAGUUGAAUCAAAUAUCUGGCGAACUAUACUUUCUUCAAUGUUAUUAACUGUUAUACGCCACAGUUUCUCAGGAUGUUUUUGUAAAGGUUUGGCGACAAGAAAAAAAUAUAUUUCGGCUAGGGAUAUGCAUGAUAUCAUUUUCGUGUGUUCAUUUCUGUUUCCAUCGGCGAAAACGGAUGUACCCAUUAUCAAUCUACGGUAGAAAUUGGAGCUAAUUCAACAUAUAUUGGACACACUUUCCGUCUUUCCCUUGGCCUUGAGAGAACAAGCUGGCGUCAAGACAAUAAAAGACGCUUUUAAUUAGCCUUUCUCACGAUGACGAAUAUGCCGCCAUUUUUGGGGUACUUUUUUCAAAAACCGUGAGCGUAAGACUUGGUAACG